rnacentral:rRNA from 1 species
AUACGUAGGGGGCGAGCGUUGUCCGGAAUGAUUGGGCGUAAAGGGCGCGUAGGCGGCCUGUUAAGUCUGGAGUGAAAGUCCUGUUUUCAAGAUGGGAAUUGCUUUGGAUACUGAUGGGCUUGAGUGCAGGAGAGGUUAUCGGAAUUCCCGGUGUAGCGGUGAAAUGCGUAGAGAUCGGGAGGAACACCAGUGGCGAAGGCGGGUAACUGGACUGCAACUGACGCUGAGGCGCGAAAGUGUGGGGAGCAAACAGGAUUAGAUACCCUGGUAGUCCACACUGUAAACGAUGAAUGCUAGGUGUAAGAGGUAUCGACCCCUUUUGUGCCGGAGUUAACACAAUAAGCAUUCCGCCUGGGGAGUACGGCCGAAAGGUUGAAACUUAAAGGAAUUGACGGG